ensembl:lncRNA
UAACCGUGCAGAAAUGUUGGCCAAUCAGAAGUCUAGAAGCCUCGGUGGGAAAAAGUAAACAAAGCUGGGGCAUAGAAGCAGAACCGAGUCGUAUGUGUGGACGGACAGUAACUGUGUGUAUAUGUAAGCAUUUAAACACUGCAGAGAGUACAAUUAACAGUAACAGUAUUGUAGAAGUUAAUUUCACCGAAACAAUAACGUGGCGCACAGUGUGACGCAUGCACCAGUUUAUUGUAUUUCCAGACUUGCUUUCGGCACAAUUUACAGUGCACGCUACUCUGUUUUUUGUCAGACUUGAAAUAGCCGAAAUACCUUCACACUACGGAACUUCUAUGGCUCUUCCGUUCGACAAUCUCUCCGGCAUUGGAACCAUCAUCUGUUUUCUCUUCGGUCACGCUCGGUUGAUUUUUCUAGUCGGCACACUCAUUUCCUCCAUUACGCCCUGGCUCCAUUACCCGCUGGCUGCUUCCCAAACAAACACACGUGGCACUUGUGCUGUACGUAACAAGUCACGCGACGUGACGCUGCGGCUGUGAUUGGUUCGGCUCUGCGCUACUUAAUUUGGAUUGGCUGACCUUUUUUUUUUUUUUUUUAAGAGGACAAGAGCGGCGAGGUCUAUCGCGAUAGCUUAAUUUCUCUAUCGAGUAAAAGUUAUAUCGCGAUACAUAUCGUUAUCGUUCUAUCGCCCAGCUCUAGCAGGGACAUUACUGGAUAUUCUUGUGUAAUUGCUACAGAAUAAUUUAUGUUAUACUUUGUUAUUGCUACAGAAGAAUAUUUAUUUUAUUAUUUUACAUUUACAAUUUUUUUCCCUUGGGACCCUGUGACACCCCAUUGAAGAGCCAUAGGCUGUGGAUUGCUUAAGAUAUCACUGUUGAGUUUGUAAGGCCAUGUUACUCCUAAAUUUCUAUCUUGUUCAAAGAGAAGAUAUAAAACAAAGUUCUAAGCUAAUCAACCUUAGUGUUCUCCUUUUUUAAUAAGAAUCGAUAAAGAAUCGAAUCGUUAAACAGAAUCGAAAAUGGAAUCAGAAUCGUGAAAAUCUUAUCAAUACCCAUCCCUACUCCCUUAUGUGUCAGGAGUAUUGGCACAGCCCAGACGCAUGUUUUUCUAAACACAUCAUCUCUGUGGCUUUCAAAUCGCAAAACUUUACCCACCCCAAAUAU